rnacentral:rRNA from 1 species
UACGAAGGGUGCAAGCGUUACUCGGAAUUACUGGGCGUAAAGCGUGCGUAGGUGGUUUGUUAAGUCUGUUGUGAAAGCCCCGGGCUCAACCUGGGAAUGGCAAUGGAUACUGGCAAGCUAGAGUGCGGUAGAGGGUAGUGGAAUUCCCGGUGUAGCGGUGAAAUGCGUAGAGAUCGGGAGGAACACCAGUGGCGAAGGCGGCUACCUGGACCAGCACUGGCACUGAGGCACGAAAGCGUGGGGAGCAAACAGG